UACGUAGGUGGCAAGCGUUGUCCGGAUUUACUGGGCGUAAAGAGCGCGCAGGCGGUUAUUCAAGUCGAAUGUGAAAGCCCCGGGCUUAACCUGGGAAUGGCAUUUGGGACUGCAAGGCUGGAGUACGGCAGAGGGAGGUGGAAUUCCACGUGUAGCAGUGAAAUGCGUAGAGAUGUGGAGGAACACCGAUGGCGAAGGCAGGUCUCUGGGCCACUACUGACGCUGAGAAGCGAAAGCAUGGGGAGCGAACAGG
rnacentral:rRNA from 1 species